AACAGAGAGGUCUCUUUUAAGCCCCUGACUUCUUCAUCUUACAACUCAUUCAAGGUUGAAGCUAAGAAAGGUCAAUGGCUUCCAGGCUUAGCCUCUCCUACUUAUCUUGAUGGCAGGUACAUAUUGAUCAGCUUAAUCAUCUCAUCUAGAAUCUUAAGUUGUUUAUAGCAUAUAUUAAACACGUCUUCUCACCUCUGAGCCUUGAUUCUAUUUUAUGGGCUAAGCAUGUGAAUUUUUUUCUUGAUAAUGAGCGUCGGCGUGACUUGAACUUAGGACCUUUCACCUGUACCACGUUGAAAUCAUUUAAAAAUUUAAACUAUUAGAUUAUAUCUUCAACUAUUACAUACAUUCAAGAUUACCAUUUUUUGCCUUCAUAAUUGAGUUGUCUAGUGGUUUCUGACCUUGCUCUAAUAUUCGAAUGCUCGCUUGUUUUAGUCUGCCAGGAGACAAUGGUUUUGAUCCAUUGGGACUUGCAGAGGACCCUGAGAACUUGAAAUGGUUCGUCCAAGCUGAAUUGGUGAACGGUCGUUGGGCUAUGUUAGGUGUUG
rnacentral:lncRNA from 1 species